rnacentral:rRNA from 1 species
AAAGCGAUUCAGCGGGUUACGAUUGACGGAGCGAAGCGACGUCAAAGCGUAUACAAAGUCGAGUCGGUUUAAGGAUACGUUCGUUGGGUAGGGGAGCGUUCUGUAAGCCUGUGAAGGUGGCCUGUGAGGGUUGCUGGAGGUAUCAGAAGUGCGAAUGCUGACAUAAGUAACGAUAAAGCGGGUGAAAAGCCCGCUCGCCGGAAGACCAAGGGUUCCUGUCCAACGUUAAUCGGGGCAGGGUGAGUCGACCCCUAAGGCGAGGCCGAAAGGCGUAGUCGAUGGGAAACGGGUUAAUAUUCCCGUACUUGGUGUUACUGCGAAGGGGGGACGGAGAAGGCUAUGUUGGCCGGGCGACGGUUGUCCCGGUUUAAGCGUGUAGGUGUGUGUUCCAGGUAAAUCCGGUUCACUUUAACACUGAGGCGUGACGACGAGGCACUACGGUGCUGAAGCAACAAAUGCCCUGCUUCCAGGAAAAGCCUCUAAGCAUCAGGUAACAUCAAAUCGUACCCCAAACCGACACAGGUGGUCAGGUAGAGAAUACCAAGGCGCUUGAGAGAACUCGGGUGAAGGAACUAGGCAAAAUGGUGCCGUAACUUCGGGAGAAGGCACGCUGACACGUAGGUGAAGUGAUUUACUCAUGGAGCUGAAGUCAGUCGAAGAUACCAGCUGGCUGCAACUGUUUAUUAAAAACACAGCACUGUGCAAACACGAAAGUGGACGUAUACGGUGUGACGCCUGCCCGGUGCCGGAAGGUUAAUUGAUGGGGUCAGCGCAAGCGAAGCUCCUGAUCGAAGCCCCGGUAAACGGCGGCCGUAACUAUAACGGUCCUAAGGUAGCGAAAUUCCUUGUCGGGUAAGUUCCGACCUGCACGAAUGGCGUAAUGAUGGCCAGGCUGUCUCCACCCGAGACUCAGUGAAAUUGAACUCGCUGUGAAGAUGCAGUGUACCCGCGGCAAGACGGAAAGACCCCGUGAACCUUUACUAUAGCUUGACACUGAACAUUGAGCCUUGAUGUGUAGGAUAGGUGGGAGGCUUUGAAGUGUGGACGCCAGUCUGCAUGGAGCCGACCUUGAAAUACCACCCUUUAAUGUUU